ACCUUAAUUUAUGUGUGUGUGUGAGGGAGAGCAAUAUUGUGCUUAAUUCACCAAAAAACAAACACUUAAAUUUAAUAGUUCUUGUGGAUUGCAAAACUUAAAGAGAUUAAUCAAUGGCAGCUAACACUUCAUUGAACCUGACCUUCUUCGUUGUUCUACUAUUUGUUGGAUGUUAUGGGCAUAUGGUAGCUGAUAUUUAUAAGAACAGACUGGGACCUGUAAUUUCAUUCCAUUGCAGAAAGGAUUCUAAUUGUAAGAGUAAAAACAAAUGCUUGUGUGAUCAUUGCACUUGCCAAAAAUUCAAAUGUACUUGCUCUUAGUGAUCCACACUGCUGAAAAAGCAUGAAUCAUGAUGAGGCCAUUCAAUAUGAUUGUAUUAAUAAAUGAGGAAUAAUAUGAAAAAUUAUGAUUAUAAGAGUAAA